rnacentral:tRNA from 1 species
GCUCGGCUAGCUCAGUCAGUAGAAUAUGAGACUCAAUCUCAGGGUCGUGGGUUCGAGCCCCACGUUGGGCG